rnacentral:rRNA from 1 species
UGGGGAAUAUUGCACAAUGGGGGAAACCCUGAUGCAGCAACGCCGCGUGAGCGAUGAAGGCCUUCGGGUCGUAAAGCUCUGUCCUAAGGGAAGAUAAUGACGGUACCUUAGGAGGAAGCCCCGGCUAACUACGUG